AGAGUUUGAUCAUGGCUCAGAUUGAACGCUGGCGGCAGGCCUAACACAUGCAAGUCGAGCGGAUGAAGGUAGCUUGCUACCGGAUUCAGCGGCGGACGGGUGAGUAAUGCCUAGGAAUCUGCCCGGUAAUGGGGGAUAACGUUUCGAAAGGAACGCUAAUACCGCAUACGUCCUACGGGAGAAAGCAGAGGACCUUCGGGCCUCGCGCGAUUGGAGCGGCCGAUGUCAGAUUAGGUAGUUGGUGGGGUAAAGGCUCACCAAGCCAACGAUCUGUAGCUGGUCUGAGAGGACGACCAGCCACACUGGGACUGAGACACGGCCCAGACUCCUACGGGAGGCAGCAGUGGGGAAUUUUGGACAAUGGGCGCAAGCCUGAUCCAGCAAUGCCGCGUGCAGGAAGAAGGCCUUCGGGUUGUAAACUGCUUUUGUACGGAACGAAACGGUCCUGGCUAAUACCCGGGGCUAAUGACGGUACCGUAAGAAUAAGCACCGGCUAACUACGUGCCAGCAGCCGCGGUAAUA
rnacentral:rRNA from 1 species